rnacentral:lncRNA from 1 species
GAUAUUGAAUAAUCAAAAAGCUAUUUUCAAUAAAACUGGUAUCGAUUUCAAUCCUUUAAAAAAAUAAAAUUAAUUAAAAAUAUAUUUGCUAGAUCUUCACAUGAAAAUCAUUUUAUCAUUUGCUUUAAAUAUAAUAAAGUAGGCCAUAAAAUUUUUAAAUAUAAUAUCAAUAAAAAUGAUCAUACUUGUAUUAAAUAGAUUUAGAUUCCAAAAGGAACCAUAUGCACUAACUCCAAUGGACCCA